rnacentral:tRNA from 1 species
GGCUCUAUGGCUUAGUGGUACAGCAUCGCACUUGUAGAGCAUCCUACGAGGUCAUGCGAAGAUCCCUGGUUCGAUUCCGGGUGGAGCCA